GGUGUGUGUGCUGCAGCUGGUGUUGUGAAUCAGGCCGAUGUCACACGUCCGCGAUAACCCGGCUAUUUCACAACACCAGGGUGGCACCACACC
ensembl:miRNA